rnacentral:lncRNA from 1 species
GGAGUUCCCAUCAUGGCUCAGCGGUUAAUGAAUCUGACUGGCAUCCAUGAGGAUGCAGGUUCGACCCCAGGCCUCAAUCAGUGGGUUAAGGAUUCGGCGUUGCCAUGAACUGUGGUGUAGGUCGCAGAUGCAGCUCAGAUCUGGCGUUGCUGUGGCUGUGGUGUAGGCCAGUGGCUACAGCUCCAAUUUGACCCGUAGUCUGGGAACCUCCAUAUGCCGCGGGUGUGCCCCCCACCCAAAAAAAAAAGAGUAAGAAUGUUGUUCAAGGUCAAUCUGCCGGUGGUUCCCACAUCCAUGAUUUGAAUCCAAGAGUGUUUGAAUCCAAGACGCAGGGUACUAAAAAGAGGAUGUACAUAUGAAAAAAGCACUUUCAUACUUCUAAGAAGCCUCAAAUCUUCUUUCCCUAAAAUCUGCUCUUGGCAUAGUUACAGUUUAUUGCUCUCUAUAUAGGAGUUUCAUUAAUAACACUUAUAAAAGGUCAAUGUAUUGUCUCAUUUUGCAACAUCAGUGCUGGGAGUAGGCUGUUAAUCUAGAAGAUAAUUCUUAUGGAAAAUAAGAAGUAUAUAAAUCAUGUGUGUUUAUAUGUGCAUGCUUAUAUAUAUGUAAAAUCUAAUGCUCUCCCCAAAAUGCACAUUGUCUCUUUUGGUCCUGUUUUUCCAAAGCUUACACUGCCAUGGAUGGAGUCUUUCACAGGAUUGUGACUGGUAUCUAGUGUCACUAAGAGGAGACUCUUGAUGGCACAGCUUGUUCAAAGAAAAUUGUUCCCUCUAAAAUAAGUUUUUAUCACAGAUUUCCUACACGGGAAGAUGGUUGUCUGUCUACUAUGCAAGCUAACACUUAUUUAUUUUGUUAUAAAUUUGCUUUCUCAUCCAGUGGGUUAAUAACCAAGCAUAUAUAAACAGACUACCAUUCCCUGCACCCCCCUCCUUUACCUUAUUUUUUCUUCUCUGAGACAGUGUUCGUGUGUGUGUGUGUGUGUGUGUGUGUGUCUGUGUGUACGCAUAAACAAAGGUAUAAUUAGUUAAGGUUUUCCUUAGUUUGUAUAAUUUUAUACUGUCCCAAAAUUCUUACUUAAAUGUCUUCCAAAGUUUAGAAACUGAAAAAUCUAUCAUAUUUUUUUACUUUACAAAGUAAAGGAUACUGUAAAUGAUCUGUAAGUUAUUUCUUCUCUAGUUACUGGUAGAAUACCUUUUUCCACUGGGUAAGGAAUAUGUGAUAAACUCAAUUUAAUUUGAUAUUAUCUAUGGUCUUGUCUAAAUCUAAUGCCCUUUGAUGUAUUAUAUAAUACCCUUUGAUUUACUGAUUUCACAUGUAUUUGAGCACUACUACAUGAAUCAUACUGUUUUAGACGAUGGGCUACAGCAGUGAGCAACAAAUGUUCUCCCUCACUAAGCUUACAUACUAGAAGCAGAGAUUGGUACUAAGCAUUAAAACAAACAAGUAAUAGAAAUAGUAUGUCAGAUAGUGUGACAUGCUCUGUGAAGGAAAGAAAAAAUAUAGUAUAAGGCAUAGAGAGUUUUUAAAACUUCUCUGAUAAGAUGACAUUUGAGUGGAUAGCCUGGAAAAAGUGUUACACUAUGCAUGUAUUCAAGAGAUGAGCACUGCAGACAGAGGAGAGGCAAAGAUGAGAGCGUGACUUGGGUUUAAGAAACAGCAAGGCAUGCAGUGUGUUGGAGCAGAGCAAGGAGUGGAGAGAAGUGAUUGGUGAUCAUACUGCUUAUGGCUUUGAGGACCCCAGUGGUGACUUCAGUAAACCAUUAGAAGAUUUUGAUCAUAGGACUAUCAGGGUCAUGAUACUGUACCCAAAGAAUCAACCUUUCUGUAUGAUAAUUUUAAAAAUAAUUUAAAUGUGCAUUUUAAAGGAACUCUUUGGUGACUUUGUGUAGGAUAUCACGUUCGAGGUCAAGGGUGGAAUCAAGGAGUUCUGAUAGGAGUCUGGCAAUAACCUGGGUGCAUGAUGAUCAUAGCCUAAAAUAGGGUGCUGCAGAGUAUUUAGAUUCUAGGAAUUAGAUAAUUUGCUGACAGAUUGGAUGUGAAGAAUGAGAAAAGAGGAGGAGCCAAGGAUGAGUUUAAUUUUAAGCGGGGAGGGAUGUAGUGAAAUAGAACAUCUUAAAGAAUGGAAUUGUCACAUUUACUGUGAUGGAGAAGACUUCAGGGGAACAGGGUUGCAGGGAAUUAACAGAUUACAUUUUAUUAUAUUUCUAUCAGGCAUCACCUUUGAGUGUUGAGGAAGCAGCUGGGGUCUCAAGUUCAGUGGAGAAAUCUGUACUGGAGAUGUACAGUUAAACAUGUAGAUAGAAUCUAAUUCUGUGGGUCUUCAUGGAAUUACCUAGUAAAAGAGUAUAGAUAAAAAAGAGAUGAGGUCUUAAGGCUGAACUUCCAGAUGCUUCAGCAUUUAGAAGUUUGGGAUAUGAGGAGAGAUAAAGGGGGCUGGAAAAAAAUCAGCUAGUGAAUAAAGGUCAAUAUGGGUUAUUAUUGUUAUUAUUUAUCUUUUGGUGAUAUUGGAAAUAACUGUCUUGUUUGACGGUAAGAACAACAGCCAAAUUGGAGUGAUUCAAGGAAAAAUUAGAGAGGAAAUGGAGAAAAAUAUCACAGCUAUUUUUUUCUAAGAGUUUUACCAUAGAGAAGGACAGAAAUAUGGUGGUAGGUGGCUAGAGGUAGAUGUGGGUCAAAGGAGGUGUUUUAAUUCAUUUUUAUUUAAAAAUUUUAAUAUGAGAGAUGCUUUGACAUGUUAUGUGGUGGUUGGAAAGGUCCAGUAGAGAGUGACAGCAGGUAGAGAUUUAUAAUUGUGCUUUUUGAUAAAACAUUUCUGUUGAAUGUCCAUAAAACAGAUGCAUUUUGACAUUAGGGCACCUCCCGGUCCAUGGGUGGAUGGGAAUUCCCUUUACACUUUGUAACAGAGUCAGCACCAUGACAGAAGCUCACCCAUCACUCCAUUUGCUUGGCUAAUAAAGAGGCAAUCAAAGGCCUGUGUGUUCACAAGGUAGGUUGGUAUGAUCAGAAAAGGAGAUUUAUGGACCAAAGUGAGCCAUGAUAUUAAAAGGUCACAAAUAACAUUUCCCUGUUGAGUCUGCUCUCACAGAUCCUAUGGCCUUCUACUCCUGGCUUCUUUUUGGGAAUUCAUUGGGCACUGUUGUGAGCAGUUGUGUUAACCCAUGAUUGCUAACCCAUGGGGUAGCAGAUUCUCAAGUGUAUGGAGUGAAGGAGGACAGUCAGAAUUUUGUACUGAGAACUAGCAAUGAGCCUGCCUGACACAGAAAUCCUUUCCUGAUUGGUCAGGACUGGUCAGUGCCCCUUUCUGCGGGAAUAUUCUAAGACUUCCUUCUAGUACUGGCAAUCUGUGUUUGUUUGUGAUUGCAGAAUAGAUUUGCAACAAUGGUAAGAAACCUUUCCCCUGCUAAUAAACAGAACUGUGCUUUCUUCUACUCUGGGUGUAUGGUGGCUGUCACAUUGCUCCUCAGGAAAUUGAACUGUGUUUGACUUAUCUUCUUUCAGUGUCACUUUGCUUCAGAUAUCAUUCUUAAGCUGAUAUGGGCACUGAAGGUUCAACUGCCUUCAGUCACAUGGCUUUCUACUGAUUAAAAGCCUUUAUAAUCUGCUAUUAUCAAUAGAAUCCAAACCAAAGUUUAUAUUUGCCCAGUCUAUAGCAGAGAAGUUUUUUUUUGUGUGUGUGUAUAUGCAUUUUGGGGGAGAUAUUGAAGUUGUCUUUGGAUUGAUAAAAAUUGUCUUUGAAAAUAUUAGAAGAACCUUUUUAGAAACCCAUUUAUCAUUAAAAUAGAUUACACAGGGUCUCUACUGGGCAAUAUUCUUGUGGUUAAGUGAUUCAUAUGCACAUAGGUUAAAAAAACUGUAAUUCCUUACAUCUUUAAUUCACAUCUGCACUGGACAUAAGUAAGGGUGGCUAUGAAAAAUGAUUUCCAGUGAAUCAGUGAUCAGUAGUACUAAGAGAAUUUCUGUCCACUCUAGGCUGCCAGGUGGAUAUAGCAGUCAGGGAUAUAGAGAUAGCAUUCUUUUUUGCCUGUCCUGAUUUGUCAAAAACCUAAAAAAUAAAAAGUCACAGUCUUAUCUUAAAAAUAAAAUAACAAGGGAUAUUUUCAUUAUCAAUUAGGAAGCACUAAGAUGUAAAGCAUAAUCAUGGAGAUAUUUGGGAACUAGAAAUCUCCAUAAAAGUGGGCUUUUGCAGCAUUCAGGCUAAUCCUGGUGUUUGCCUUUGAUUACUUUGGGUACCAUUUAGUCCACUUACUGUAUCAUCUUGUAAUUGCCCUGAACAGUUUUUCAUCACAAAAGUAGUUACGUUCUCUCAUUGUUUGACACAGAGUGUAAAGAAAAAGUAUUUAAAAUGUCAGGCUACUUUAGUGUGUUAUACCACAAAGGAUGGAGCAGAUGUUUUUAAAUAAACAUCAGCCCUGGUUGUGCAUGGUUAAGACACUGGGGAGCCUUUUUCAGAAGCAGGGGAAGCUCAUGAAUUUAGAGGAGGCUUAAAUACUGUACUUUCACAUAAAACCGUAAAAAGUUGGCAGAAGUAUCAGAGGCCAAUGAAUGGGCAUAGAGCUGAACAUGUUAUAACUCAGAUUACCAAUAAAAAUGUCAGCCUCAAAUCUGAAGUGAAUAGUUUUGUAAUACUGAACUGAAAGCAUUUUUUAAUUGCUUUCAAAUGGACAAACUUCAUAUAAUUUAAUAAAAUUUAUCUACUUUAUUAUCAAAAAGGCUAUUAUUGCAGCAAAGGGAAAUGGAGGAUUUAAAUGUCAUUCCUAGCAUCUAAUUUCCCAGCUCUUUUAUUGGGAUGUUAUUAAAACAAGACCAAAUGGACUUUGCUACAUCCAUAAAAGCCAGUCAAGCAAGAGAGUUAAUCUGAGUGCUGUAGAAUCAUUAAACAUGGCCUGUGGUUGUAGUCUGGCUGGUGUUGGGUGAGAUGUGCCUUGGGAAGCAGGUGUGAUGUGUCAGGAGCCAUGUUUUAGCAUUCUGUAUCUUGUGGAGCCUAAAGAACAGCUGGAUUCAGGGAGACACAUACCAGGGACAAUGAUUAUUUUUGUACCCAAGGGAUUAAUUUCAUUUUUUAAUGUUCCUUAUGAAUCAGCUAAAGUCUUUGAAACAAAUGGUGGCAAGGAAAGACUGGGGGGCUAGGUAGAGCUGGUAGGGAGGUCUUCUCUCUGCUGGAAAGCAGUUCCAGUAACUUGCUAAGUGGUUGCUUGCAUUUGGUGUGCUUUCUCUGGACUUAUUCAGAAAUAUUCUCAUGUUUGUAGGAAGAAAGAACAAUCUGUGGACAGUGGAACUAUUUAUAGUUUAAAAAACGAAAACAAAAACAAAAAACAAAAGAGAUAAAGUAUCAAGAUAUCUUUGGCUGUGAGGAGGAAACUGUAGUUAGUUACUAGGGAAGUGUAGAAAGGGAGAUAAACAUUUAUCUAGAUAUGGUAUUUUAAUAGUAGUUGUAGUCAUAGUAAUAAAUAAGAUGUGCUCAAUACUGUGCAUACUUUAUUUCAUUUGCAAUAAUCUGAGGUAUUCUUUCCAUAUCACAGACAAUUCUAAAACCCAAGUUUCCCAUCCAAGUACUAACCUACAGAAUGGGAGAAAAUAGUUUCAAAUGAUGCAACUGACAAGGACUUAAUCUCUAAAAUAUACAAACAACUUAUACAGCUCAAC